rnacentral:rRNA from 1 species
UCCGGUUGAUCCUGCCGGACCCCACUGCUAUCGGGAUAGGACUAAGACAUGCUAGUCGUGUGCCUCAGCCAAAACGAGGCACGGCGCACAGCUCAGUAACACGUGGCUAACCUGCCCUUAGGACGAGAAUAACCCCGGGAAACUGGGGCUAAUGCUCGAUAGGUGAAGAACUCUGGAAUGAGUCUUCACUUAAAAGAGUCUGCGUUAUGCUCGUAGAUUUCGCUUAAGGAUGGGGCCGCGACCGAUCAGGUUGUUGGUGAGGUAAUGGCUCACCAAGCCUUUUACCGGUGCGGGCCGUGAGAGCGGGAGCCCGGAGAUGGGCACUGAGACAAGGGCCCAGGCCCUACGGGGCGCAGCAGUCGCGAAAACUUUGCAAUACACGAAAGUGUGACAGGGCUAUCCCGAGUGCCAUCCGCUGAGGAAGGCUUUUACCCAGUCUAGAAAGCUGGGGGAAUAAGGAGAGGGCAAGUCUGGUGUCAGCCGCCGCGGUAAUACCAGCUCUCCGAGUGGUGUGGAUGUUUAUUGGGCCUAAAGCAUCCGUAGCUGGCUAAGUUAGUCCCCUGUUAAAUCCAACGAAUUAAUCGUUGGAUCGCGGGGGAUACUGCUUGGCUAGGGGACGAGAGAGGCAGACGGUAUUUCCGGGGUAGGGGUGAAAUCCUAUAAUCCCGGGAAGACCACCAGUGGCGAAAGGCUGUCUGCUAGAACGCGCCCGACGGUGAGGGAUGAAAGCUGGGGGAGCGAACCGGGAUUAGAUACCCGGGUAGUCCCAGCUGUAAACGAUGCAGGCUAGUGUUUGGACGGGCCACGUGCCCGUUCUAGUGCCGCAGGGAAGCUGUAAGCUGCCGUCUUGAGAGUACGAUCGCAGAUUGAACUUAAAGGAUUGGCGGGGG